rnacentral:rRNA from 1 species
UACGGAGGGGGCUAGCGUUGUUCGGAAUUACUGGGCGUAAAGCGCACGUAGGCGGCUUUGUAAGUUAGAGGUGAAAGCCCGGGAGCUCAACUCCGGAAUUGCCUUUAAGACUGCAUCGCUCGAAUCAUGGAGAGGUGAGUGGAAUUCCGAGUGUAGAGGUGAAAUUCGUAGAUAUUCGGAAGAACACCAGUGGCGAAGGCGACUCACUGGACAUGUAUUGACGCUGAGGUGCGAAAGCGUGGGGAGCAAACAGG